ACUUUAUGAGAGUCUAUUACCACAAUAAUCAGACAGAGCUGGAGCCACAAAUCAGGACGUACCAACUUCAUAUUCAGGAUGAGGUUUCUGUGAAAACAGGUGAGGAGCUGAAGUUGGAUGUUCUGUUGUCAAACGCUGAUAAAGUGCAGCAUCAGAGCAGAAGAAGCACAGAGUGGAUGAAGGAUUGGAGCAGAACUGAUGGAGUUCAGAGAGAACGGAUCACCAUCAGUGAUGGAAACCUGAUCAUUAGUAAUUUCACAGCCAGAGACGCAGGAACAUACAGAGUUCUGGACCCUGAUGGAGAAAUCUUGAUCACAGUGACAGUCACAGAAUCAAAGUAUCCUAGUACAGAAUCAAAGAAAAA